GAGUUUGAUCCUGGCUCAGGAUGAACGCUAGCGGCAGGCUUAACACAUGCAAGUCGAGGGGCAGCAUGGCCUUCGGGCCGAUGGCGACCGGCGCACGGGUGCGUAACGCGUAUGCAACCUACCUUUUGGAGGGGGAUAGCCCGGGGAAACCCGGAUUAACCCCCCAUGGCACCUCUCCAACACCUGUUGGAUAGGUUAAACAUUCAUGGCCAAAAGAUGGGCAUGCGUCCCAUUAGCUUGAUGGUAGGGCAACGGCCUACCAUGGCGAUGAUGGGUAGGGGCCCUGAGAGGGGGGACCCCCACACUGGUACUGAGACACGGACCAGACUCCUACGGGAGGCAGCAGUGAGGAAUAUUGGACAAUGGGCGGGAGCCUGAUCCAGCCAUGCCGCGUGCGGGAAGAAGGCCCUAUGGGUCGUAAACCGCUUUUACAGGGGAAGAAACGCCUCCACGCGUGGGGGUUUGACGGUACCUGCGAACAAGGAUCGGCUAACUCCGUGCCAGCAGCCGCGGUAAUACGGAGGAUCCAAGCGUUAUCCGGAAUCAUUGGGUUUAAAGGGUCCGUAGGCGGGGGCGUAAGUCAGUGGUGAAAGUCUGUGGCUCAACCAUGGAAUUGCCGUUGAAACUGUGCCCCUUGAGUUGCCGUGAAGUGGUUGGAACAUGUGGUGUAGCGGUGAAAUGCAUAGAUAUCACAUAGAACACCGAUUGCGAAGGCAGAUCACUAACGGCAUACUGACGCUGAUGGACGAAAGCGUGGGUAGCGAACAGGAUUAGAUACCCUGGUAGUCCACGCCGUAAACGAUGGUCACUAGCUGUCCGGCGCACAUUGGUGCGCUGGGUGGCCAAGCGAAAGUGAUAAGUGACCCACCUGGGGAGUACGUUCGCAAGAAUGAAACUCAAAGGAAUUGACGGGGGCCCGCACAAGCGGUGGAGCAUGUGGUUAAUUCGAUGAUACGCGAGGAACCUUACCAGGGCUUGAAUGCAGCCUGACAGGGUCGGAAACGACCCCUCCUUCGGGCAGGUUGCAAGGUGCUGCAUGGUUGUCGUCAGCUCGUGCCGUGAGGUGUCAGGUUAAGUCCUAUAACGAGCGCAACCCCUGUUGUUAGUUGCCAGCACGUAAUGGUGGGAACUCUAGCAAGACUGCCGGUGCAAACCGCGAGGAAGGUGGGGACGACGUCAAAUCAUCACGGCCCUUACGUCCUGGGCCACACACGUGCUACAAUGGUGGGGACAGAGAGCGGCCACUGGGCGACCAGGAGCGAAUCUACAAACCCCAUCACAGUUCGGAUCGGAGUCUGCAACCCGACUCCGUGAAGCUGGAAUCGCUAGUAAUCGCAUAUCAGCCAUGAUGCGGUGAAUACGUUCCCGGGCCUUGUACACACCGCCCGUCAAGCCAUGGAAGCCGGGGGUGCCUGAAGUCCGUUGCCGCAAGGAGCGGCCUAGGGCAAAACUGGUAACUGGGGCUAAGUCGUAACAA
rnacentral:rRNA from 1 species